CGUUUUUUGUAAUUAAUAAAAAAUAUAGCCUGCCCACUGAUAAAGAUUGAAUGGCCGCGGUAUUUUGACCGUGCGAAGGUAGCAUAAUCAUUAGUCUAUUAAUUGUAGACUGGUAUGAAUGGCUGGAUGAAUAACAACUGUUUUUAGGUUAAAAUAUGAAUUUUAGAUUUUUGUGAAGACGCUAAAAUGAGGCUAAAAGACGAGAAGACCCUAUUAAGCUUUACAUGCGUGUUUAAUUCUUUUAAACCAUUAAUGUUAUGUUGGGGCGACAGGAAUAUAGAGAAGCUUUUCCUUUUAUUUAAUGUAUAUAGGCAGAGGAAAUUAAAUGAUCCAUAAUUUAUGAUUAUAAGAACAAGUUACUAUAGGGAUAACAGCGUAAUUUUAUUGGAGAGUUCUUAUUGAUAAUAAAGAUUGCGACCUCGAUGUUGAAUUAGGAUACCUUUAGGGUGCAGAAGUUUUAAAAGGUAGUCUGUUCGACUAUUAAAUUCCUACA
rnacentral:rRNA from 1 species